rnacentral:rRNA from 1 species
GACAGAGGUGCCAAGCGUUAGGCGGAAUCACUGGGCUUAAAGCGUGUGUAGGUGGAAGCGUAAGUACCUUGUGAAAUCCCACGGCUUAACCGUGGAACUGCUUGGUAUACUGCGUUUCUUGAGCCAUCUAGGGGCGACUGGAACAAACGGUGGAGCGGUGAAAUGCGUAGAUAUCGUUUGGAACGCCAAUGGUGAAAACAGGUCGCUGGGGGAUGAGCUGACGCUGAGACACGAAAGCCAGGGGAGCAAACGGG